AACCCACUGGAGUGAAAGAUGCUGAAACAUAUGCUGGACUGGUUUAUUAUGAGAAGAAAGAAACUGAAGAUUUGGUGACAUUCACUGCAGCUAAGAAAUUGAGUGCUCUCCUUGAAUUUAUUACAAGUGAAAACUCUUUUGCUGAAAGAGGACAAAAUGUUUAUUUUUCAUUCAAUUCUUCCUAUUCAUAUAUUGAAUUGAAGUUUGAUGCACCACAAGAUGAGCCAUUCACUGGUUGGAGUAUUAAGCCUCACCUUAAGCCUUGUAGAUUGCGUCGUUAUGAUGUUGAUAAUUUUGGUGAAGCUAAUUAUCCUCUUCCUCCAUGUUGUCUGGUAUCAGUCUAUGGAUCACCUGGUGCUGUACCAUCACUACAUUACUCUGUACCACUGGAUGGAGUGGCUGAUCCUGUUACAUUAUUCAUUCACCGAUCACUGAGAACAUUGUCCCUACCAGCAAUUCCAGUAAAUCCAAGUCCCCUACCAGUGCCGAGAAAAAGAGAACAAGGUAAAUUGUUCAUGUGGUUG